CGAAAAUUGCGCCUCAGAGGCAAAGGCCAGAAUUAAACACUGAGUGGAAAUUGCACAGAAGCAAUUUUGGAUUGAUGAAACAAAAGAAAAACUUGAAUUAGAUACAGCUAGAACCGACUUCUCUCCGGAGUUAGUGGAGGCCACUUCAUUCAAGGUCUUUCGAACACAGGCUAUGAAGAAAUAAAGGCUAAGUAACUUUUGCCUUGGGUCAUACAACUAGUAAUUGUCCUUGGAAAGAUUUGAAAGAAAGCCUUCCUGACUCAAA
rnacentral:lncRNA from 1 species